rnacentral:rRNA from 1 species
GACGAACGCUGGCGGCGUGCCUAAUACAUGCAAGUCGAACGCUUCUUUCCUCCCUAGUGCUUGCACUCUAUUUGAAAGAGGAGUGCCGGCCGGUUGAGUAACACGUGGUUAACCUACCCAUUACUGGGGGAUAACACUUGGUAACAGGUACUAAUACCGCGUCACUGUUUAUGCCGCCUUGCAUUUGGGUGAUAGGUGCUUUCGGGUGCUGUUAAUGGAUGGACCCGCUGUUCAUUAGCUAGUUGGGGCAGUCACGGCUUACCAAGGCCACGAUGCAUAGACGACCUCAGAGGGUGGUCGGACACACUGGCACUGAGGCACGGCCCAGACUCCUACGGGAGGCAGCAGUAGGGAAUCUUCGGCGAAGGAGGAAAGUCUGACCGAGCAACGCCGCGGGAGUGAAGAAGGUUUUCGGAUCGUAGAACUCUGUUGUUAGUGAAGAACUAGAGCGUUAGUAACUGAGCGGCCACUGACGGUAUCUAACCAGAAAGCCACGGCUAACUACGUG